rnacentral:misc_RNA from 1 species
GAUGAAGAACGUAGCGAAAUGCGAUAAGUAAUGUGAAUUGCAGAAUUCAGUGAAUCAUCGAAUCUUUGAACGCACAUUGCGCCCAUUAGCAUUCUAGUGGGCAUGCCUGUUCGAGCGUCAUUUCAACCCUUAAGCCCUGUUGCUUAGCGUUGGGAGCCUACAGUACUGUAGCUCCCCAAAGUUAGUGGCGGAGUCGGUUUCACACUCUAGACGUAGUAAAUUUUUCUCGUCUGUAGUUGAGCCGGUCCCCUGCCGUAAAACGUCCAAUUUAUCAAGGUUGACCUCGGAUCAGGUAGGAAUACCCGCUGAACUUAAGCAUAUCAAUAAGCGGAGGA